CGCAGGCAAGCGUAGCGAAUCGCAUAGAUAAGCCCCUACCUGCCAGCGCGCGGAUGGAUAGGGCGGGCGAAGCGCGAAGGGGAUGGAUGUCUGAGCGGUUGAAAGAGUCGGUCUUGAAAACCGAAGUAUUUAUAGAAAUACCGGGGGUUCGAAUCCCUCUCCAUCCGCGAGGUCAUAAGUUCUCUCUUGCGUUAUCUAUAGAUAAGAACGAAUCGGAUCGACUCGACUGAUAUGAUAGAUGGAAUGGGAGUUUGUGUUCUAUUUAGUUAGGACCUUGUCUCCCUUUCGACUAUAGAUAAGAACGAAUCGGAUUGACUCGACUGAUAUGAUAGAUGGAAUGGGAGUUUGUGAUCUAUUUAGUUAGGACCUUGUCUCCCUUUCGUUAAAAUCCCCGACCCGACACUUGUUAGUUUCGAAUGAAGAAUGAAAAGUGCCCUGCCCUAGCAAGCACCUACUCCUAUCAAAAAGCGAGACUUUACUAAACAAGCAAGAAAGGCUCUUUCUAUCUUAUUAGUCAAGCGCUAACGAGCAAGAAAACGGAUGCGCUAAGAAGCAACUUCGUGCAGCUGCUCACCUACUCCUAUCAAAAAGCGAGACUUUAUUAAACAAGCAAGAAAUACUCUUUCUAUCUUAUUAGUCAAGCGUUAACGAGCAAGAAAACUGAUGCGCUAAGAAGCAACUUCGUGCAGCUGCUGCGCCCUUUAUCUAAAUUAUUGCAAAAUAAAAAAUAGAGAUUUAAUACAUUCUCGUUCGUAAUAUUGAAUUGAAUGUCUUUUGUUAGCAUUA
rnacentral:lncRNA from 1 species